rnacentral:rRNA from 1 species
CCACAGCCAAGGGAACGGGCUUGGAAUAAUCAGCGGGGGAAAGAAGACCCUGUUGAGCUUGACUCUAGUCCGACUUUGUGAAAUGACUUUCGAGAUAUAGCCUAAGUGGGAGCUAACGCGCCGCUGUAAAACCACUGCUCGCUUAGCCAUUUUACUUACUCCAUUAUGAAGUGACCAUUAGUUUGGUUCUUAGAUUUAAGCUACGACUCGUAUCGUGGCGAGCUUUGUGGAGGACACAGUCAGGUGGGGAGUUUGACUGGGGCGGGUACAUCUGUUAAACAAUAACGCAGGUGUCCUACGGUGAGCUCAAAGAGAACAGAAAUCUCUUGUAGACCAAAAGGGGAAAAGCUCACUUGAUUUGAUUUUCAGUACUAAUACAAACCGCGAAAGCGUGGCCUAUCGAUCCUUUAACUUUACAAGUUUAAGUCAGAGGUGUCAGAAAAGUUAACCACAGGG